AUUGAACGCUGGCGGCAUGCCUUACACAUGCAAGUCGAACGGCAGCACGGGAGCAAUCCUGGUGGCGAGUGGCGAACGGGUGAGUAAUAUAUCGGAACGUGCCCAGUAAUGGGGGAUAGCCCGGCGAAAGCCGGAUUAAUACCGCAUACGACCUACGGGUGAAAGCAGGGGAUCGCAAGACCUUGCGUUAUUGGAGCGGCCGAUAUCAGAUUAGCUAGUUGGUGGGGUAAAGGCCUACCAAGGCGACGAUCUGUAGCUGGUCUGAGAGGACGACCAGCCACACUGGGACUGAGACACGGCCCAGACUCCUACGGGAGGCAGCAGUGGGGAAUUUUGGACAAUGGGCGCAAGCCUGAUCCAGCCAUGCCGCGUGCGGGAAGAAGGCCUUCGGGUUGUAAACCGCUUUUGUCAGGGAAGAAACGGCUCUUGCUAAUAUCGAGAGCUAAUGACGGUACCUGAAGAAUAAGCACCGGCUAACUACGUGCCAGCCGCCGCCGUAAGAC
rnacentral:rRNA from 1 species